rnacentral:rRNA from 1 species
UACGAAGGGGGCUAGCGUUGUUCGGAAUUACUGGGCGUAAAGCGUGCGCAGGCGGCUUCUCAAGUCAGGGGUGAAAGCCCAGAGCUCAACUCUGGAAUUGCCUUUGAUACUGAGUGGCUUGAGUACGAGAGAGGUGAGUGGAAUUCCCAGUGUAGAGGUGAAAUUCGUAGAUAUUGGGAAGAACACCGGUGGCGAAGGCGGCUCACUGGCUCGUAACUGACGCUCAUGCACGACAGCGUGGGGAUCAAACAGG